AUAUAUACAAUCDGGGUCNUCACGCGACGGUGGGUGGUGACGUGCCUGGGUCUGUUGCUUGCUUGUCUUGMGAGCGGBGGGCGGGUGAUUAAUGCCUAGGAAUCUGCCUGGUAGUGGGGGAUAACGCUCGGAAACGGACGCUAAUACCGCAUACGUCCUACGGGAGAAAGCAGGGGACCUUCGGGCCUUGCGCUAUCAGAUGAGCCUAGGUCGGAUUAGCUAGUUGGUGAGGUAAUGGCUCACCAAGGCGACGAUCCGUAACUGGUCUGAGAGGAUGAUCAGUCACACUGGAACUGAGACACGGUCCAGACUCCUACGGGAGGCAGCAGUGGGGAAUAUUGGACAAUGGGCGAAAGCCUGAUCCAGCCAUGCCGCGUGUGUGAAGAAGGUCUUCGGAUUGUAAAGCACUUUAAGUUGGGAGGAAGGGCAGUUACCUAAUACGUAUCUGUUUUGACGUUACCGACAGAAUAAGCACCGGCUAACUCUGUGCCAGCAGCCGCGGUAAUACAGAGGGUGCAAGCGUUAAUCGGAAUUACUGGGCGUAAAGCCCCGUAGGUGGUUCGUUAAGUUGGAUGUAAAAUCCCCGGCUUAACCUGGAACUGAUUCAAACUGAC
rnacentral:rRNA from 1 species